UACGUAGGUGGCAAGCGUUGUCCGGAUUUACUGGGCGUAAAGGGCGUGCAGGCGGUUUGUUAAGUGCAGGGUGAAAGCUCCCGGCUCAACUGGGAGAGGUCCUUGCAUACUGGCGAACUCGAGGGAGGCAGAGGAAAGUGGAAUUCCCGGUGUAGUGGUGAUAUGCGUAGAUAUCGGGAGGAACACCUGUGGCGAAGGCGGCUUUCUGGGCCUUACCUGACGCUGAGGUACGAAAGCGUGGGUAGCAAACAGG
rnacentral:rRNA from 1 species